rnacentral:rRNA from 1 species
GAUGAACGCUAGCUACAGGCUUAACACAUGCAAGUCGAGGGGUAACGAGAGGAAAGCUUGCUUUCCUUGUCGACGACCGGCGCACGGGUGAGUAACGCGUAUCCAACCUGCCCCCAACUAAGGAAUAACCUUGCGAAAGUAAGACUAAUACCUUAUAAUUUCCUCAGAUGUCAUCUGACGAGGAAUAAAGAUUUAUCGGUUGUGGAUGGGGAUGCGUCUGAUUAGCUUGUUGGCGGGGUAACGGCCCACCAAGGCAACGAUCAGUAGGGGUUUUUAGAGGAAGGUCCCCCACAUUGGAACUGAGACACGGUCCAAACUCCUACGGGAGGCAGCAGUGAGGAAUAUUGGUCAAUGGGCGGAAGCCUGAACCAGCCAAGUAGCGUGCAGGAUGACGGCCCUAUGGGUUGUAAACUGCUUUUAUACAGGAAUAAAGUUAGCCACGUGUGGUUAUUUGUAGGUACUGUAUGAAUAAGGACCGGCUAAUUCCGUGCCAGCCGCCGCCGUAA